CAGCGAUGGUGGCGAUCUAUAGGUGGACUGUGAGAGAGAAAGAGCCAGAGAGAACCGUACCUGAGAGAUCACGGCCCAGUAGACUUCAAAGAAGGACAGUGGCGGAGCGGAGGUGAAGCGACGGCGAUGGCAGCGCGGCGAUGGUGACGGUGGCGCAGCGACAGAGGUGACCUAUAGGUGGACUAUGAGAGAGAGAGAGUCAUACCUGAGAGAUCGCGGCUCGGUGAUCAAAGAGGGACAGUGGCGGAGGCGAAGGUGGAGGCAGAGCGAUGACGAUGGUGGCGAAGGUGGAGCGACGACAAUUGUGGCAUCCCUAGGGGAAGCAACAACAGUAAGAGAGGGAGAAAGGAAGAGAGAGAGAGAAAGUGAGGGAGGGAGAGGGAGAAACCGGGGAGGAAGACGAUGGCGGUGGCGAAGGGAGGACGACGGUGGUGGCCUCGAUUCGACUGGUGCAAUGGCAUGGAGGGAGGACGACGAUCGGGGAGGGC
rnacentral:lncRNA from 1 species